CUUUCACCAUACCUCCUGUAUUUCUUUCCUCCAAAGGGUCAAUUGACUGAUUACACAAAACCCAAACCCACAACAGUAAUUACUUGUUGAUUUCAAAGAAAAAAAGGGAAAUGGCGAUGCCUUUGGGCUUGGCUAUAGAGAUGGCAAGGAUGGUGUGGAUAGCUUUAAGUGGGUGGGUUUGUUCUUGCUUGACGAUUGCCGAUGAAGUCGCCGCCUCUCUCAGAAGUGGUGAUAUCGGUCCCUUCCAUGUUGGCUAAUCUCAAUUCUUCCUCUCUUUUUUCUUCCAAUCAAACCCACAUCUCUGCUCUAGAAGGCUUGUAAUGGGCUUUAUGGCUUCGGCAUAGGGUGUGUUGGUUUUUGUACUUAAUAUUUCCUGCUUUAUUUUUAUUGUUGUUUCCUUUUGGCUUAUUGCUGUUUUGUGGAUGACAGCUGUUAAUUAAUUUUUAGGGAUAAAUACCAAAUAUGCCAUUUUGAGCCAAUAUUCAAUGACAUUACUUUCAUUUGGUUCAAUAUACAAACUAAAGAACUUUUUGAUGGAAUAUGCCUUAGAACCCUAAAAAACCACUAAUAAGUAUUAUGAUUUGAAAAAAUGGUCAGAAAAGGAAAAAGUAAAAUGUUGAGAUGGAGAGCCAUUUUCUUUUUAUUUUCCAUUUUUCUCUCCCUCUUUUUCCUCUCUGUUUUCUCCUCCUCAGCAGCUGCUGGAACCUCUGCUGGCACCAAUCCAAUGUUCAACCUCCAAGGCCUUGAGAAAUUUAGCCUGUGUUGAUCAGGGCUCUAUGAUCCAGAUUGGCACUAGGUGGCAUGAGAUCUGGCCAUAUUGGCACCAUUUGUUACAAGGGAAAAAGAGUGUUAAAAGAGGAUGAACCUAAAAGAAGAAUUAGGAGGAGCAUGGGGAUUGAAAGGCAAAAACCAGUUUUAAUUUCAUUCAUUGGUGUGGCAUGCAAAACUUGGUUAUUGGUUUAUUUAAAUUCCAGUACACUGAUAACUGAUAAGACUACUGGAGGUAUGAACAACAUACUUUGUACAGAGAACUUUUCUUCAGAUUUGUGGAAUUAAUGGAAGGCACACUCGUAUCUUAAAUGAUCAAUCUUACUGGUUUAUCUGAACAUUACUCAUUUUAUACUAAUGUGUUUAGAUGACGAGAGUAUGUCGAUUUGUGUUAUGAUGUUGAUCCAAAUACCAAUAGUCUGAUUCUGAUAUUUCUUAUGCAACUGUAUAUGAAGACUGUAGGUAUAUGCAUGAGUAUUCCUAUGAACAA